rnacentral:rRNA from 1 species
GACGAACGCUGGCGGCGUGCCUAAUACAUGCAAGUUGAGCGCUGAAGGUUGGUACUUGUACCGACUGGAUGAGCAGCGAACGGGUGAGUAACGCGUGGGGAAUCUGCCUUUGAGCGGGGGACAACAUUUGGAAACGAAUGCUAAUACCGCAUAAAAACUUUAAACACAAGUUUUAAGUUUGAAAGAUGCAAUUGCAUCACUCAAAGAUGAUCCCGCGUUGUAUUAGCUAGUUGGUGAGGUAAAGGCUCACCAAGGCGAUGAUACAUAGCCGACCUGAGAGGGUGAUCGGCCACAUUGGGACUGAGACACGGCCCAAACUCCUACGGGAGGCAGCAGUAGGGAAUCUUCGGCAAUGGACGAAAGUCUGACCGAGCAACGCCGCGUGAGUGAAGAAGGUUUUCGGAUCGUAAAACUCUGUUGGUGGAGAAGAACGUUGGUGAGAGUGGAAAGCUCAUCAAGUGACGGUAACUACCCAGAAAGGGACGGUUAACUACGUG